GGUGUUGUGGUGUAGUUGGUUAUCACGUCAGUCUUACACACUGAAGGUCUCCAGUUCAAGUUUGGGCGACGCCA